rnacentral:lncRNA from 1 species
GAUUGUUAUAAAUAAGUCUGCAUCUGCAGCUCUCUGUGGAAUUAAUGUUUUGAAUUGCCUUCUAGGUAAGAGCCUAUCUUGCCUAGGAAAACAACCUGAAAAGUUUUAACUUCGGGAUUCAUCAAUUAGACUUUGUGUUCAAGACAUAGGGGUUUAAAGGGGAAAAAAAAUCAAUUCUAGCUAUAAAAUGUUGAGUAGAGAUAUGUUUUUUUUUUUUUAAUCUUGUGCUUAUGCGGGAGGCAGUUGUCUCUAUCCAAGGCUGAUCACAUCUCCUCUAUUUGAUUGAUUGUUAAAUCUAUUGAUGAGUGAGCUGUACGGCCAGAAUCCCCAGCAGCAAGGUCAGCGGACUGAUUCCUCAAGCGGGGACGCUGGGGUCUGUGCGGAGGAACCUCCUCCCCGCAGGAGCAUUUUGAGUAUGCAGAACACAUCGGCUCAGCCUGGGGCCGGCACUUAGUGCACACACACGCACACGCUCACGCAUACGCGCGCACCCCAGCGCUUAUCCCUCAAGUGAGGCGGCGUUAGCAAGCGCAGCCCCAGCUCCCCGGGCUGAGCUCCCGGCGGCGCUGCCUGAUUCGCCAGCGGAGCCCCGAGCCGGGUUUCCAGGCACCCGGCCGGCAGCUGCCUCUUCCCCGGCCCCAGCAAGAGGGCUCCCUCUUCCCAAAGCCGGUCAGCCUGGGGAGGAGAGUGCUCCGAGAGGACGCCGACACCGCUUCCUGCUCCUCUCUCCCGCCGUGCCAGCUGCCUCACCGGCCACUUUCAGGCAUAACUGAUGCAUCCAUUGCUUCUACCUGGACUUGUGGUUGGAGUCAGCAAUGGCGUUUCCAAUGCCAGGACCCCAUCAGGCCUGGUAAGUUCUGCACUUACAGGAGCUAUGUGAUUUGGGACAAAGAGGAUCUCAAGCUUCUUCCCUGUCUCUCCUUCUGAUCCUAGAGUUUGACUUCCUGAAUUUUAUCUUUGUAGCCCCAUGAGAAAACCUAGAAGAGAGACAACUCUAAACCAUGUUCAGUCUUUUUUUUCCCUUCCAUUUUUUAAAAUAUAAUUUAUUGUCAAAUUGGCUAACAUACAGUGUGUAAAGUGUGCUCUUGGUUUUAGGGGUAGAUUCCCGUGGUUCAUCGCUUACAUACAACACCCAGUGCUCAUCCCAACAAGUGCCCUCCUCAAUGCCCAUCACCCAUUUUCCCCUCUCCCCCACCCCCCUCAUCCACCCUCAGUUUGUUCUCUGUAUUUAAGAGUCUCUUAUCGUUUGCCUCCCUCCCUCUCUGUUUGUAACUAUUUUUCCCCCUUUCCUUCCCCUCUUGUCUUCUGUUAAGUUUCUCCACUUCCACAUAGGAGUGAAAACAUAUGAUAUCUGUCUUUCUCUGACUGACUUAUUUUACUCAGCAUAAUACCUUCCAGUUUCAUCCACAUUGCUGCAAAUGGCAUGAUUUCAUUCUUUCUCAUUGCCAGGUAGUAUUCCAUUGUAUAUGUAAACCACAUCUUUAUCCAUUCAUCAGUCCAUCAACUGAUAAAUAUAUGUUAGAAGACCUAGAUGACUUAAGGCUGCAAAAGUAACAGAAUAAAAAAUGUUCCAUUUUUUACUUCUCUAUAUUG